rnacentral:sRNA from 1 species
UUUGUGAUGUAAGGUCCAGCAAUAAAAAACCCCGUAUUAGGGGUUUUUUAUUAUCUGAAACAUGGCUAUUCAGGUGUUUACUGGGCUUUAUAGCCCUUUUUUU